rnacentral:rRNA from 1 species
CCGCUAAGCCUAAAUAUUCCCUGGUGACCGAUAGCGGAUAGUACCGUGAGGGAAUGGUGAAAAGUACCGCGGGAGCGGAGUGAAAUAGUACCUGAAACCGUGUGCCUACAAGCCGUGGGAGCGUCGGGCUAGGACUUGUCCUAGCCUCGUGACUGCGUGCCUUUUGAAGAAUGAGCCUGCGAGUUUGCGGUGUGUUGCGAGGUUAACCCGUGUGGGGAAGCCGUAGCGAAAGCGAGUCCGAAUAGGGCGUUUCAGUAGCACGCUCAAGACCCGAAGCGGAGUGAUCUAGCCAUGGGCAGGUUGAAGCGGAGGUAAGACUUCGUGGAGGACCGAACCCACCAGGGUUGAAAACCUGGGGGAUGACCUGUGGUUAGGGGUGAAAGGCCAAUCAAACUCCGUGAUAGCUGGUUCUCCCCGAAAUGCAUUUAGGUGCAGCGUCGUGUGUUUCUUGCCGGAGGUAGAGCACUGGAUAGGCGAUGGGCCCUACCGGGUUACUGACCUUAGCCAAACUCCGAAUGCCGGUAAGUGAGAGCACGGCAGUGAGACUGUGGGGGAUAAGCUCCAUGGUCGAGAGGGAAACAGCCCAGAGCAUCGACUAAGGCCCCUAAGCGUACGCUAAGUGGGAAAGGAUGUGGAGUCGCAGAGACAACCAGGAGGUUGGCUUAGAAGCAGCCACCCUUGAAAGAGUGCGUAAUAGCUCACUGGUCAAGUGAUUCCGCGCCGACAAUGUAGCGGGGCUCAAGCGUACCGCCGAAGUCGUGUCAUUGCAGUACGUACCCCCAACGGGGACUGUGAUGGGUAGGGGAGCGUCGUGUGCCGGGUGAAGCAGCCGCGGAAGCGAGUUGUGGACGGUUCACGAGUGAGAAUGCAGGCAUGAGUAGCGAUACACACGUGAGAAACGUGUGCGCCGAUUGACUAAGGGUUCCUGGGUCAAGCUGAUCUGCCCAGGGUAAGUCGGGACCUAAGGCGAGGCCGACAGGCGUAGUCGAUGGACAACCGGUUGAUAUUCCGGUACCCGCUUUGAAACGCCCAAUAUCGAGCCCUCUGAUGCUAAGCCCGUGAAGCCGUUCCGGACCCUUCGGGGAAUGGAAAGUGGUGGAGCCGGCGAACCAAGGUGGUAGUAGGUAAGCGAUGGGGUGACGCAGGAAGGUAGUCCAGCCCGGGCGGUGGUUGUCCCGGGGUAAGGGUGUAGGGCGUUGUGUAGGCAAAUCCGCACAACA